rnacentral:rRNA from 1 species
UGCUGACAUAAGUAACGAUAAAGCGGGUGAAAAGCCCGCUCGCCGGAAGACCAAGGGUUCCUGUCCAACGUUAAUCGGGGCAGGGUGAGUCGACCCCUAAGGCGAGGCCGAAAGGCGUAGUCGAUGGGAAACGGGUUAAUAUUCCCGUACUUGGUGUUACUGCGAAGGGGGGACGGAGAAGGCUAUGUUGGCCGGGCGACGGUUGUCCCGGUUUAAGCGUGUAGGUGUGUGUUCCAGGUAAAUCCGGUUCACUUUAACACUGAGGCGUGACGACGAGGCACUACGGUGCUGAAGCAACAAAUGCCCUGCUUCCAGGAAAAGCCUCUAAGCAUCAGGUAACAUCAAAUCGUACCCCAAACCGACACAGGUGGUCAGGUAGAGAAUACCAAGGCGCUUGAGAGAACUCGGGUGAAGGAACUAGGCAAAAUGGUGCCGUAACUUCGGGAGAAGGCACGCUGACACGUAGGUGAAGUGAUUUACUCAUGGAGCUGAAGUCAGUCGAAGAUACCAGCUGGCUGCAACUGUUUAUUAAAAACACAGCACUGUGCAAACACGAAAGUGGACGUAUACGGUGUGACGCCUGCCCGGUGCCGGAAGGUUAAUUGAUGGGGUCAGCGCAAGCGAAGCUCCUGAUCGAAGCCCCGGUAAACGGCGGCCGUAACUAUAACGGUCCUAAGGUAGCGAAAUUCCUUGUCGGGUAAGUUCCGACCUGCACGAAUGGCGUAAUGAUGGCCAGGCUGUCUCCACCCGAGACUCAGUGAAAUUGAACUCGCUGUGAAGAUGCAGUGUACCCGCGGCAAGACGGAAAGACCCCGUGAACCUUUACUAUAGCUUGACACUGAACAUUGAGCCUUGAUGUGUAGGAUAGGUGGGAGGCUUUGAAGCGUGGACGCCAGUCUGCGUGGAGCCGACCUUGAAAUACCACCCUUUAAUGUUUGAUGUUCUAACGUGGACCCGUUACCCGGGUUGCGGACAGUGUCUGGUGGGUAGUUUGACUGGGGCGGUCUCCUCCUAAAGAGUAACGGAGGAGCACGAAGGUUGGCUAAUCCUGGUCGGACAUCAGGAGGUUAGUGCAAUGGCAUAAGCCAGCUUGACUGCGAGCGUGACGGCGCGAGCAGGUGCGAAAGCAGGUCAUAGUGAUCCGGUGGUUCUGAAUGGAAGGGCCAUCGCUCAACGGAUAAAAGGUACUCCGGGGAUAACAGGCUGAUACCGCCCAAGAGUUCAUAUCGACGGCGGUGUUUGGCACCUCGAUGUCGGCUCAUCACAUCCUGGGGCUGAAGUAGGUCCCAAGGGUAUGGCUGUUCGCCAUUUAAAGUGGUACGCGAGCUGGGUUUAGAACGUCGUGAGACAGUUCGGUCCCUAUCUGCCGUGGGCGCUGGAGAACUGAGGGGGGCUGCUCCUAGUACGAGAGGACCGGAGUGGACGCAUCACUGGUGUUCGGGUUGUCAUGCCAAUGGCACUGCCCGGUAGCUAAAUGCGGAAGAGAUAAGUGCUGAAAGCAUCUAAGCACGAAACUUGCCCCGA